CGCUAGCUACAGGCUUAACACAUGCAAGUCGAGGGGCAUCAGGAAGAAAGCUUGCUUUCUUUGCUGGCGACCGGCGCACGGGUGAGUAACACGUAUCCAACCUGCCCUUUACUCGGGGAUAGCCUUUCGAAAGAAAGAUUAAUACCCGAUAGCAUAAUGAUUCCGCAUGGUUUCGUUAUUAAAGGAUUCCGGUAAAGGAUGGGGAUGCGUUCCAUUAGGUUGUUGGUGAGGUAACGGCCCACCAAGCCUUCGAUGGAUAGGGGUUCUGAGAGGAAGGUCCCCCACAUUGGAACUGAGACACGGUCCAAACUCCUACGGGAGGCAGCAGUGAGGAAUAUUGGUCAAUGGGCGCUAGCCUGAACCAGCCAAGUAGCGUGAAGGAUGAAGGCUCUAUGGGUCGUAAACUUCUUUUAUAUAAGAAUAAAGUGCAGUAUGUAUACUGUUUUGUAUGUAUUAUAUGAAUAAGGAUCGGCUAACUCCGUGCCAGCAGCCGCGGUAAUACGGAGGAUCCGAGCGUUAUCCGGAUUUAUUGGGUUUAAAGGGAGCGUAGGUGGACUGGUAAGUCAGUUGCGAAAGUUUGCGGCUCAACCGUAAAAUUGCAGUUGAUACUGUCAGUCUUGAGUACAGUAGAGGUGGGCGGAAUUCGUGGUGUAGCGGUGAAAUGCUUAGAUAUCACGAAGAACUCCGAUUGCGAAGGCAGCUCACUGGACUGCAACUGACACUGAUGCUCGAAAGUGUGGGUAUCAAACAGGAUUAGAUACCCUGGUAGUCCACACAGUAAACGAUGAAUACUCGCUGUUUGCGAUAUACAGUAAGCGGCCAAGCGAAAGCAUUAAGUAUUCCACCUGGGGAGUACGCCGGCAACGGUGAAACUCAAAGGAAUUGACGGGGCCCGCACAAGCGGAGGAACAUGUGGUUUAAUUCGAUGAUACGCGAGGAACCUUACCCGGGCUUAAAUUGCAGUGGAAUGAUGUGGAAACAUGUCAGUGAGCAAUCACCGCUGUGAAGGUGCUGCAUGGUUGUCGUCAGCUCGUGCCGUGAGGUGUCGGCUUAAGUGCCAUAACGAGCGCAACCCUUAUCUUUAGUUACUAACAGGUUAUGCUGAGGACUCUAGAGAGACUGCCGUCGUAAGAUGUGAGGAAGGUGGGGAUGACGUCAAAUCAGCACGGCCCUUACGUCCGGGGCUACACACGUGUUACAAUGGGGGGGUACAGAAGGCAGCUAGCGGGUGACCGUAUGCUAAUCCCAAAAUCCUCUCUCAGUUCGGAUCGAAGUCUGCAACCCGACUUCGUGAAGCUGGAUUCGCUAGUAAUCGCGCAUCAGCCACGGCGCGGUGAAUACGUUCCCGGGCCUUGUACACACCGCCCGUCAAGCCAUGGGAGCCGGGGGUACCUGAAGUACGUAACCGCAAGGAUCGUCCUAGGGUAAAACUGG
rnacentral:rRNA from 1 species